UCUGCCUCCCUCUUCUCUCUCCCUUUUUCGGCAGCCCCCCCCCCUUCCUUCUCUCCUCAUCUCCCUCUCGUUCUUCUUCCCCUCUUUCUCUCUCCCGUCCUUCUCCCCUCUCCCGUUGUUCCCCUUUCUCCCUCUUUCUCCCCAUUACCUUUUCUCCCCUCCUGUCUCUUCUCUUCCCCUUCCUCUGUUCCUAUCUCUUCUUCUUUUGCAGUCAGCAGGUUCCGGCGAGCAGGAAUAGCUCGACCCAGCAACAACUCAAAGUAGCCGCCUCCAUCUCCCCUUCUCCCAUCGUUCCUCUUCUUCUUCUCCCUUUCUCCACCUCCCUCUUCCCCUCUUUGCUCUCUAUUUCUCCUUCUAUCUUCCCCUUCUUCUUCUCCUUUCUUUUCUUCUCCUUUUGCAAUCAGCAACCAGCGAGACAGCAGCUCGCUCGUCCUCUCAAUUUUCCAGGUGAGGCGACCAGCAUCUCUGGCCGGCGAAGCAACAACUCCGACCAACAACCCCGUUUCCCCAUCUGGCUCAGGUAGCCUGCAACAGCAAGCAGCAGCCACACGAGGACGGGAGAUUUCAGCAACCAGUAGCUCUGCGACAGCAAUAGCCGUGAGCAGCUCCGACGAGGUUCGAGAUGCCCGAAACUUGCACUAAGGCGGCUCUUGACAGAUCCGCUUAGGUUUUGCACUUAAAGUUCAAGAUGAUGAAGAGUGGCCUAGAAGAAAUUUCGGACAAAGCUUUGUUUGUUUUAAUGUUGUGUAUAUUUUCAUCUGUUAUUUUUAUUACAACAUAUGUAUAACUCUAAAGCAACUCUUAUAUAUGAAGCAAUUUGGGGGAUCGCCUAGGGAGGGGGAAUUAUGUGUUAAUCAUCUUCUGUUUCUUAUUUUCUGCAAACUUAUUUGUGUUAGAAAGCAUGCCUAUAGGUCCGCUCAAUCAUUUAGUUUAACUCUGCUAAAUUAAUGUUUGAAAUUAAUUUUAUUCAAAUUGGCAUAUUAAGUAAUGAGUUAUGAUUAAUUCACUAAAAUGUUAAUAACUUAUGUGCAUUUUAGUUAUCCAUUGAAUAAAUCAAGCAUUCAUAUGUCAUUUGGAGUUAGAAAUCAUGCUUAUAGGUGUUAUUUAAAUAUGUUGAUUAUUAAAUCAUCUAGAAAUCAUGUUAUAGGAAGUAUUAACUAUUUUUACUCGUUUAAAUUUUGUGCAUAUAAUAUAAUAAGGAGAUGUGUAUCAGAGAUAGGAAUGAACAUCUUAAGUUAUUUUCAUGAUGGAGUUGCUGGAGGACAUUACAGAGGAAGAAAAACAGCCGCAAAAGUACUCGAAGUAGGUUUUUUCUGGCCCGCUCUAUUUAAAGAUGCAAGAAAUUAUGUCAUCGCUUGCGAUAAAUUCCAAAGAAGUGAUAACAUUUCAAAAAGGAGUGAAAACCUCUUAACUCUAUUUAGGUAUGAGAAAGUUGAUGUUUGGGGAAUCAAUUUUAUGGGUCCGUUUCCUCCGCCAAA